AGAUACCUGGUAGUCCGCACGGUAAACGAUGGAUGCCCGCUGUUGCGAUAUACUGUGAGCGGGCCAAGAGAAAUCGUUAAGCAUCCCGCCUGGGGAGUACGCCGGCAACGGUGAAACUCAAAGGAAUUGACGGGGGCCCCCACAAGCGGAGGAACAUGUGGUUUAAUUCGAUGAUACGCGAGGAACCUUACCCGGGCUUGAACUGCAGGCGAACGAUACAGAGAUGUUGAGGCCCUUCGGGGCGCCUGUGGAGGUGCUGCAUGGUUGUCGUCAGCUCGUGCCGUGAGGUGUCGGCUUAAGCGCCAUAACGAGCGCAACCCCUUUCGUCAGUUGCCAUCAGGUGAUGCUGGGCACUCUGGCGACACUGCCACCGUAAGGUGUGAGGAAGGUGGGGAUGACGUCAAAUCAGCACGGCCCUUACGUCCGGGGCUACACACGUGUUACAAUGGGUGGUACAGAGAGUAAGUCCCCAGCAAUGUGGAUUCAAUCAUGAAAGCCGCCCUCAGUUCGGAUUGGGGUCUGCAACCCGACCCCAUGAAGCUGGAUUCGCUAGUAAUCGCGCAUCAGCCAUGGCGCGGUGAAUACGUUCCCGGACCUUGUACACACCGCCCGUCAAGCCAUGAAAGCCGGGGGCGCCUGAAGUCCGUGACCGCGAGGGUCGGCCUAGGGUGAAACCGGUGAUUGGGGCUAAGUCGUAACAAGGUAACCGUA
rnacentral:rRNA from 1 species